UCUAUCUGGUCGGUCUCCUGACUGCACGCUGGUCCAGUCCAAAGAAGAUGACUUUGACUGGGAGCAGGGAGACAACCGAGACCGAUUGGCCACCCCCUGGAUCCCUGCAGGCUCCUCCUUCCUGUUUGUGAACACGUCAGGUCGCUAUGGUGGUCAGCGCGCUCAGCUGCUACUACCGCCACUCAGAGAAAACGACACGCACUGCCUCAGUUUCCUGUUUUACCAGGUUGGAGGGCGCGAGGGUGCCGUGCCCGCUACGCUUAACGUCUACAUCAAAGAGAACGGUAGUCCUCUGGGAGUUCCUGUCUUUAACUCCUCAGGCCCUGCCUACCACAUCUGGAAGGGGGUGGAGCUUGCAGUGUCCACCUUCUGGCCCAAUCA